rnacentral:rRNA from 1 species
AAGGGACAGCAGUAGCCGCGGUAAUACGUAGGUGGCAAGCGUUGUCCGGAAUUAUUGGGCGUAAAGGGCUCGCAGGCGGUUUCUUAAGUCUGAUGUGAAAGCCCCCGGCUCAACCGGGGAGGGUCAUUGGAAACUGGGAAACUUGAGUGCAGAAGAGGAGAGUGGAAUUCCACGUGUAGCGGUGAAAUGCGUAGAGAUGUGGAGGAACACCAGUGGCGAAGGCGACUCUCUGGUCUGUAGCUGACGCUGAGGAGCGAAAGCGUGGGGAGCGAACAGGAUUAGAUACCCCCGUAGUCCCUGUCUCUUAUAA